AAUGUCCCCAGAAUGGUUCAUGUGCAGAAUGAUAAUUUACUUCACGCAGCUAAUGUUGAUUUCAAAAGGACAACUAACAAACCAGUAGCCUAUGGAGCACUGCCUAGCUUCGAGACAUUUCCACCACACCAUAUGGAGCUCGUCCACUAGCAUUGGUUGAGGAUACAGGUUUCAACGCCCCACAAGGAACAUUGCCCACAGGACCACCGCAAGAUGAUGUGUUAAAAUCAUCCAACCAACCUGAAGUAGUGCAAGUAAUAUCAAAGGUGGUUGCCAAACAUGAUGAGCUAUGGAGAAAAACUCAUGAGGAACACAUGUCUCGAAUGCGUGCAGAGUUGGCAAGCAAUGUGUCUUCUAUCAUUCCAAGCACCAAUCCUAUGAUGGCAAAUACUCCCGCCCCUCCUGUUAUUAUCAGCUAAUACCAAGGGACAACAACAACUCAGUCAACAGUGGCCAAUAACAGUCAGGGAAUGUUAUCAAUGAUGGUUACCAAACACGAUGAUUUGUUGAAGAAAGUACAUGAAGAACAAGUAUCUAAAGUGUUGGCAGAUAUGAGCAUAAGUGUGACUCCUUGUGCACAAAAUGUGUCCUCCCAGUGUAAUGAUGAAGCAAAAACUCAUGUUACUCGCAGUAGCAAUAGCCACAACAAUGACAGUGCUCUUGUGCGAUACCAGGCAACGACUGCUGUCAGUCAUGAUCAGCAAAUUAACAAGAACAACAUUAUCUUCCAUACAAGUGCAAUUCUUUUUUGAAGAUGACAAUGAUGUUGGCAAAUCAAUUGGACAAUCACAAC